GUGGCAAUCCCUUGGGGGCAAGAAUCACAUAUAAUACGAUCAGUAUAGUGCCUAACAUUCUGAUUGGGACUCUUCUUUGGUGAAGACUUUCAAACUGAAGAAGAGGGAAAAGAGGCGCUCUACUAGCCGACAGUUUGUUGAUGGUCCCCCUGGACCUGUAAAGAAAACUCGUUCCAUUGGCUCCACAGUAGACCAGGGGAAUGAAUCCAUAGUUGCAAAAACUACAGUGACUGUUCCCAAUGAUGGCGGGCCCAUCGAAGCUGUGUCCACUAUUGAGACUGUGCCGUAUUGGACCAGGAGCCGAAGGAAAACAGGUACUUUACAACCUUGGAACAGUGACUCCACCCUGAACAGCAGGCAGCUGGAGCCAAGAACGGAGACAGACAGUGUGGGCACACCACAGAGUAAUGGAGGGAUGCGCCUGCAUGACUUUGUUUCUAAGACGGUUAUUAAACCUGAAUCCUGUGUUCCAUGUGGAAAGCGGAUAAAAUUUGGCAAAUUAUCUCUGAAGUGUCGAGACUGUCGUGUGGUCUCUCAUCCAGAAUGUCGGGACCGCUGUCCCCUUCCCUGCAUUCCUACCC
rnacentral:sRNA from 1 species